UGGGUGCAAGCUCAUUGUAACGCCAUCUAAUC
rnacentral:piRNA from 1 species